rnacentral:rRNA from 1 species
UACGUAGGGUGCAAGCGUUGUCCGGAAUUAUUGGGCGUAAAGAGCUCGUAGGCGGUUUGUCGCGUCUGCUGUGAAAACGCGAGGCUCAACCUCGCGCCUGCAGUGGGUACGGGCAGACUAGAGUGCGGUAGGGGAGAUUGGAAUUCCUGGUGCAGCGGUGGAAUGCGCAGAUAUCAGGAGGAACACCGAUGGCGAAGGCAGAUCUCUGGGCCGUAACUGCGCUGAGGAGCGAAAGCAUGGGGA